rnacentral:rRNA from 1 species
GGGAGCUUGCUCCCGGAUGUUAGCGGCGGACGGGUGAGUAACACGUGGGUAACCUGCCUGUAAGACUGGGAUAACUCCGGGAAACCGGAGCUAAUACCGGAUAGUUCCUUGAACCGCAUGGUUCAAGGAUGAAAGACGGUUUCGGCUGUCACUUACAGAUGGACCCGCGGCGCAUUAGCUAGUUGGUGAGGUAACGGCUCACCAAGGCGACGAUGCGUAGCCGACCUGAGAGGGUGAUCGGCCACACUGGGACUGAGACACGGCCCAGACUCCUACGGGAGGCAGCAGUAGGGAAUCUUCCGCAAUGGACGAAAGUCUGACGGAGCAACGCCGCGUGAGUGAUGAAGGUUUUCGGAUCGUAAAGCUCUGUUGUUAGGGAAGAACAAGUGCAAGAGUAACUGCUUGCACCUUGACGGUACCUAACCCAGAAAGCCACGGCUAACUACGUGCCAGCAGCCGCGGUAAUACGUAGGUGGCAAGCGUUGUCCGGGAAUUAUUGGGCGUAAAGGGCUCGCAGGCGGUUUCUUAAGUCUGAUGUGAAAGCCCCCGGCUCAACCGGGGAGGGUCAUUGGAAACUGGGAAACUUGAGUGCAGAAGAGGAGAGUGGAAUUCCACGUGUAGCGGUGAAAUGCGUAGAGAUGUGGAGGAACACCAGUGGCGAAGGCGACUCUCUGGUCUGUAACUGACGCUGAGGAGCGAAAGCGUGGGGAGCGAACAGGAUUAGAUACCCUGGUAGUCCACGCCGUAAACGAUGAGUGCUAAGUGUUAGGGGGUUUCCGCCCCUUAGUGCUGCAGCUAACGCAUUAAGCACUCCGCCUGGGGAGUACGGUCGCAAGACUGAAACUCAAAGGAAUUGACGGGGGCCCGCACAAGCGGUGGAGCAUGUGGUUUAAUUCGAAAGCAACGCGGAGAACCUUACCAGGUCUUGACAUCCUCUGACAACCCUAGAGAUAGGGCUUUCCCUUCGGGGACAGAGUGACAGGUGGUGCAUGGUUGUUCGUCAGCUCGUGUCGUGAGAUGUUGGGUUAAGUCCCGCAACGAGCGCAACCCUUGAUCUUAGUUGCCAGCAUUCAGUUGGGCACUCUAAGGUGACUGCCGGUGACAAACCGGAGGAAGGUGGGGAUGACGUCAAAUCAUCAUGCCCCUUAUGACCUGGGCUACACACGUGCUACAAUGGACAGAACAAAGGGCUGCGAGACCGCAAGGUUUAGCCAAUCCCACAAAUCUGUUCUCAGUUCGGAUCGCAGUCUGCAACUCGACUGCGUGAAGCUGGAAUCGCUAGUAAUCGCGGAUCAGCAUGCCGCGGUGAAUACGUUCCCGGGCCUUGUACACACCGCCCGUCACACCACGAGAGUUUGCAACACCCGAAGUCGGUGAGGU